UUUUGGCCCUUUUAGAAUAGAUUCAUUGUUGAUUUCGUAUCCCCUUGAGCUUGAACUUUGAAAUCGACGAAGAUGUGAGAGUUCAGUUAGUAGCUGGCACGGCUACAUUGUGCAUUAACUUCUGCUGGAACGCAUGACAGAAUAAGGCAGCCGAAUUCAAAGGUCCGAGGCUUCGGCGAGGGAUCACUUUUCCUUCAUUCACUAAUAUGAUGAAGAAAUCACAUCACUAAAGAUUUUGAUUUAAUCGGCGACAGCGGUAGCUAUUUCACGUGUUUCUUUGAUUGAAUUGGAGAAGUUCCAAAGACGAUUAGCUCGGCGAAUUACCGGAGUCUUCUACACUGCGUGGGUGGAAGCUGCAUUGAGAAUGGUAAUGCCUGCUGGAAGAUAAAUAGCUAGUGGCUUUGGGAGAUGGACUUCAGGAACUAAGAUCGUUGCUGGGAUUACGAUGCAGUAGAAGAAAAAGCUCCAGAAGUCAAGUCACUGAGAGGGUGAUUGAUAGCAUGUAGAGUGAGAUAAUGAGGAGUACAGGUUGAAGACUUGUGGAUUGGGGGAAGAAGAAGAAUAUGGGCAGAAUUACUAGGGAAUUGGUUGUUCUGUUUAACUAGGAGAGUUUUCAAUUGUUACUUGCAUUACUAGAGAUUCCAUAGUUAAUUUCAACUCUAGCAUUUCCUGAUUCACUUCUUUUAGGGCCUAUAAACUAUGCCUCAAUCCUCAUUGAAACAGCAUUUUUGUAUUUUUUAUAUUAAUCAGCUUUGAUCUUCUUUUGUA